CUGGGCUCCAGUGCUGCCGGAGCCUCAGCCUGGCUCCUGCAAGAUGCCCUUGGAGGUCGCGUUGCCCGAAGAGGGGCUGCACAAGAUGGGCUGCGAGUGCAUGCUUGUUUCAACAUGUGAUGAAGACUGGCAGCCAGGGCAGAGCUCCUCGAUUCUACCCAGUCCAGAGCCGGGUGUUCAGCACAGCCUGGCACCAGCCAGAGAGUUGUUGGAACCUGCGAGCACACAGUCGAUGACUCUGCUUGCACAGAUGGUGAGGGAGCCAAGAUUCGAGUGUAGAUCCUGGCUGAGAGAAGAGGAUGGAUACAGCGUCCCCAGUGGCGGCUCCACUCCCCCACGGCCUGAGCAUCGUGGCGCAGACGCUGGCCCGGUGGGAGCAUGACCUGGCUGUGCAGUUGGCCGUAUCCAGGCCUCUCCUGAUGUGGUGUUGGCAGGUGGGUUUCCACAUCCCCUCAAAUGAGUUUUAAGAUGAUUGAACUACAACAGCUGCCACCCACAACCCGAAGCAGGGCCUGAGGC
rnacentral:lncRNA from 1 species